rnacentral:rRNA from 1 species
GCGGCGUGCCUAAUACAUGCAAGUCGAACGCACUGACGUCGACAGAAGGUGCUUGCACUGGAAGUUGAUUGACGUGAGUGGCGGACGGGUGAGUAACACGUGGGUAACCUGCCCUUAAGCGGGGGAUAACAUUUGGAAACAGAUGCUAAUACCGCAUAAAAGUUGAGAUCACAUGGUCUUAAUUUGAAAGACGGCCUUUGGCUGUCACUUAAGGAUGGACCCGCGGCGUAUUAGCUAGUUGGUGAGAUAAUAGCCCACCAAGGUGAUGAUACGUAGCCGACCUGAGAGGGUAAUCGGCCACAUUGGGACUGAGACACGGCCCAAACUCCUACGGGAGGCAGCAGUAGGGAAUCUUCCACAAUGGACGAAAGUCUGAUGGAGCAACGCCGCGUGAGUGAAGAAGGUUUUCGGAUCGUAAAACUCUGUUGUUGGAGAAGAACAGGGACUAGAGUAACUGUUAGUCCUUUGACGGUAUCCAACCAGAAAGCCACGGCAAACUACGUGCCAGCAGCCGCGGUAAUACGUAGGUGGCAAGCGUUGUCCGGAUUUAUUGGGCGUAAAGCGAGCGCAGGCGGUUUCUUAAGUCUGAUGUGAAAGCCUUCGGCUUAACCGAAGAAGUGCAUCAGAUACUGGGAAACUUGAGUGCAGAAGAGGAAAGUGGAACUCCAUGUGUAGCGGUGAAAUGCGUAGAUAUAUGGAAGAAUACCAGUGGCGAAGGCGGCUUUCUGGUCUGUAACUGACGCUGAGGCUCGAAAGUAUGGGGAGCGAACAGGAUUAGAUACCCUGGUAGUCCAUACCGUAAACGAUGAAUGCUAAGUGUUGGAGGGUUUCCGCCCUUCAGUGCUGCAGCUAACGCAUUAAGCAUUCCGCCUGGGGAGUACGACCGCAAGGUUGAAACUCAAAGGAAUUGACGGGGGCCCGCACAAGCGGUGGAGCAUGUGGUUUAAUUCGAAGCUACGCGAAGAACCUUACCAGGUCUUGACAUCUAGCGCCAAUCCUAGAGAUAGGACGUUCCCUUCGGGGACGCUAAGACAGGUGGUGCAUGGUUGUCGUCAGCUCGUGUCGUGAGAUGUUGGGUUAAGUCCCGCAACGAGCGCAACCCUUAUGAUUAGUUGCCAGCAUUUAGUUGGGCACUCAAGUCAGACUGCCGGUGACAAACCGGAGGAAGG